rnacentral:rRNA from 1 species
GAUGAACGCUGGCGGCGUGCCUAAUACAUGCAAGUCGAGCGAACGGACGAGGAGCUUGCUUCUCUGAUGUUAGCGGCGGACGGGUGAGUAACACGUGGAUAACCUACCUAUAAGACUGGGAUAACUUCGGGAAACCGUAGCUAAUACCGGAUAAUAUUUUGAACCGCAUGGUUCAAAAGUGAAAGACGGUCUUGCUGUCACUUAUAGAUGGAUCCGCGCUGCAUUAGCUAGUUGGUAAGGUAACGGCUUACCAAGGCAACGAUGCAUAGCCGACCUGAGAGGGUGAUCGGCCACACUGGGACUGAGACACGGUCCAGACUCCUACGGGAGGCAGCAGUAGGGAAUCUUCCGCAAUGGGCGAAAGCCUGACGGAGCAGCGCCGCGUGAGUGAUGAAGGUCUUCGGAUCGUAAAACUCUGUUAUUAGGGAAGAACAUAUGUGUAAGUAACUGUGCACAUCUUGACGGUACCUAAUCAGAAAGCCACGGCUAACUACGUG